UACGUAGGGUCCGAGCGUUGUCCGGAAUUAUUGGGCGUAAAGAGCUCGUAGGCGGUUUGUCGCGUCUGCUGUGAAAACUGGGGGCUCAACCCCCAGCCUGCAGUGGGUACGGGCAGACUAGAGUGCGGUAGGGGAGAUUGGAAUUCCUGGUGUAGCGGUGGAAUGCGCAGAUAUCAGGAGGAACACCGAUGGCGAAGGCAGAUCUCUGGGCCGUAACUGACGCUGAGGAGCGAAAGCAUGGGGAGCGAACAGG
rnacentral:rRNA from 1 species